rnacentral:rRNA from 1 species
CCUACGGGACGCAGCAGUGAGGAAUAUUGGUCAAUGGCCGAGAGGCUGAACCAGCCAAGUCGCGUGAGGGAAGAAUGUCCUAAGGAUUGUAAACCUCUUUUGUCGGGGAGCAAAAGACGCCACGCGUGGCGUUCCGAGAGUACCCGAAGAAAAAGCAUCGGCUAACUCCGUGCCAGCAGCCGCGGUAAUACGGAGGAUGCGAGCGUUAUCCGGAUUUAUUGGGUUUAAAGGGUGCGCAGGCGGAAGAUCAAGUCAGCGGUAAAAUUGAGAGGCUCAACCUCUUCGAGCCGUUGAAACUGGUUUUC